UUAUGUGCGGAAGGGAUAAGCGCUGAAAGCAUCUAAGCGUGAAGCCCCCCUCAAGAUGAGAUUUCCCAA
rnacentral:rRNA from 1 species